UGGAGCCGCUGUGCGGAACCGCGCCUCAGCAUCCCCACCGCCAUCUUGGGGGGGGGGGAGGUGAGGGGCGUAUUUCAUCUUCGGGGCACUCCGCCCACACCGCGUGAUUUUAUUCUCGUUUAAUUCUCCACUCCGGGCAACCUGGGAAGAAGAUGAAUGCCCUAAGACUGCACCCAGCUUCCCUUCUGGAGGAAACCAAGACCUGCUUCCACAAAAUGCAACAUCAUCUCUCAGGGUUUUCCGCCUGCACACAGGAGUGGACUCUGCCUCAUCCAGCAGGUUUUAUAGCUUAGACUCUUGAACACCUUCAGAAAUUGGAGCAUAAACUGAUGUUGAGUUUGGUCAGCAAAGUCAAGCCUUGCAGUUGUAGUUACGUGCAUAACAAAUGGUAUUACCUGUCCGUGUAUAGCCUUUAACUUAUUUAUCUGUAGCUUGGAUUAAGUCAAAUGAAACAGCCAACACUAGUGUAUACUGCUAAUGUAUAAGGAGGACAUUAGUUUGUGGGUUUUUUUUUUUUAUAUUAAAGUUUUUUAUCGGGAAAAGACUGUCAUUUUGUGCCUGUCUAGCCUGGAUGUAAGCACUGAACAAAUAAUAUAUAAUAACACAUGGCACUGACACAAGCUAUUCUGGUGAAAUGUAGCCGGUGGGGACCUAAGCUUAGCAGCCAGAUUGUCAGCACUACAUAGUACCAAAUACGCAUGAGGAGUUUCAGCUAUGGUUCAGACACAGCCCCUCACAGCAACCAGCUCUUGGGGAGGAAAAAGUAUAACUGUAUAAUUUAAUUUUUAAAAAUCCCAGCUUUUUCAAAAGCGGGAACUUAGAUCAUUCUGUGAAGAAAUCUAGCGUUCGCUUCAGUCCAAUAGAACAAUUGAGGGAAUUGCUGAAAAGGGUCUUCCAGCUCUACAUGGAAAGAAUUCUAUUUCCAAAAGUCUUCCGCAUCUGCCAGCUACUAUAAGUUGGACUGAAAACUGUCAAAUACUUAACAACUUUGAAAAUCCAGUUACUUCCUACACAAAAUGUGAGUGCUGGAAUCUAACAGUCUUUUGAAAUUUAUGGCCAAGGAAUCCGAGUGUGUCUCUGUAUAAAAAAAUACAUAAUUGUUCAUGGAUUUUGAGUUAUCCGGGGCUAAAUGGAAUCAGAAAUUGCUGAGGCAUAAGUAUCACUGUAAUGUAAAUACAAUCACCAUUUAAUCCUGAUAAAUACUGGAUUAUAGACUUCAGAAAGCAGACUGACAAUUAUUGGAAAUCCUGUGGUCACCUCAAGUAUGUCAUUUCAAGUAUACAAUAUUUCAGUUAAAAUAAAACCAUAAAAUCGUU